ACUGCGCAUGCUCUAGUCAACAAAGGGAUCCCGGGUGAUUGAUGUCAGCACCGGACCAAUGAAAGGACGGUGGGCGGAGUUGGAUGACCUAGCGGGCAGUUGGUCCUCCAACCAAUCAAAGUGAAUGUAGGGCGGAGCUAAACUAAACCAUGUGAUCACUCGCGCGCGGCGCAGAGUCGCUGUAAUGAAUGCUCGGGAAGUUCUGGAGAGAAAGGAUACGGAUACUACAGGUGGACAUUCAGAUGGUAAUCUCAGUCAUUGUAACACCUAACUCUGAUUGAAUUAGUCAAUUCAUCAGGACUUGGAUAUUUUCAUUGUGUGGUGCUAGAUGGUGAAGAUUUGCAGACUGAAAUCUCAAAA